rnacentral:lncRNA from 1 species
AUUAAUAUUUUUUUAAAAAAAAAAGAUUUACUGCUAGUAAAGUUGUCAGCGUGCUACAUAGAUUAGAAUCAACAUUUAUUUAGAAAAGAGUGGGGGAAUGGAGAUGAGUGUUUUUAUCCCCACAUUAGAGAUGUCAACAGGGUCAGAUUUGGAGUAGGUUUUUAAAACCCGAACGCAAACCAGACUAUCAAACCAGAAUUUCAAUACGAAUUCGUAUCCAACGGAUUUUGAAAAUUCAUAUCUAAACAUUAAUUCGACCAAAAACUGAGAACUCGAACACGAAACAAUUAUUUAUUUUUAUCAUAUUUUCAAAGCAUAUUAUAUUAAAAUUUAAAUUUUUUAAAAUACAAAUGCAAAUAUAAAAUCAAACAUUCAUAUAUUUUAUAUAAUAUAAAAUCAAUUCGGGUUCGGGUCUAACUCAAAUUCGGAUUAGGUAUAGACAAAAUCUGUACUCGAAUCCAAAUUUGUCAGAUUUUCAUAGUUUAUUACCCGCAUUCGAAACCAUACUAGUUUAGCAUUACAUAAAUAUAUUCAUACCAUCGACAAUCCGGCCUACUGGCUCUAAUGGUCCCUAAACCUUUACUCAUUUACACUUAAUUUAUUCAUAAUUUCUUUU